UGCAACACUAGGUAACGUUAUCUUAGAGAUGGAAUCCAGCAAACGUCCGGCUCCCAGCACAACACCGACUCCUACACAAACUCAGAGUAAGCCAAAAAAACAAAAAAAAAAAACAAAACAUUUAUCUACUGAAUCCUGUCUGGCUAAGCGGGAACGUGACCGUGGUCAAGGGAAAACUAGAGUGAACAUCGGCAGGGCAUUUGAUUCCUGGAGGGACCUUCGUUCAAAACCGACCCUGAAUUGGCAUUCUUCUUAUUGGACAGAAUUUUGAAGGGGAGGAGCAGUUACUGUCUGCCAGGGCAUGGAGGAGUCGCUGCUGUCCACCGGGAGGCAGAGAAACCACUGCCAUCCGCCAGGGCACGGAGGACCCGCUGCCAUCCGCCAGGAGGCGGAGGAACCACUGCCGUCCAUCAGGAUGUGGAAUACAGUGCCAUCGCCUGGCGUCGCGGAGGAUCGCUGGACAGCUGGCUGAGGACCGAAUGGUGCCGUGGUCGGGAACCUGAGCUUUUCCUUUUUUUUCCUCUAUCUCUCUCUCUCUCCCCCUCUCUCUGUCUCUCCUGCUAUCUUUCUCCCUCCCCUCCCCUCCCUUACCCAGGAGACGGGGAAGACCAGACGGCGACGGAAUGGUCAAAGGGGCAACUCCUCCCCUCCAGGAGGGGGGCGGGGGUAAGUCCGGAGGUUUCUCCAGCCUGAAACUGGCAGUGGGGGUAUGUGAUGAGGAGGAGGGCGUGGCUGGGCUGAGAGCUUUCACGCCCUGCACUAAGUUUCCCAAUCAGUGGGAGAGAGAUAAGAGAAGCCGGGGAUGAGAGAGAGAGAGAGAGACACACACAAAGCAGUGUUUUGUGUGUGCACUUUUGUUUAUGUUAAGUCUCUGUCAGUGUUUUAUUAAAAGUCUUUUUGAUUGUUAAUCCGGUUCCUGCUUCCUCCUUUUCUGAUGAACGAGAGGCUUGUCUGCCACACCGAGGUAUUCUGGGUCUGAUCAUAAGUACAAAAUCUGUGCAAAUUGCAGGGUUAAAGGAAAUAAAAUUAGUUUUUUAGUAUCAGUAUAUUACCAUUCAGCAGGUACCAUGCUGCCAUCAACCUCCCAUAAAGUCUUCUUGCCAUUCAUCUCUGUGGUGUAAAUCACCCAUCUGUGACGGCC